rnacentral:rRNA from 1 species
UCUGGUUGAUCCUGCCAGUAGUCAUACGCUCGUCUCAAAGAUUAAGCCAUGCAUGUGUAAGUAUAAACAAUUUUAUACUGUGAAACUGCGAACGGCUCAUUAUAUCAGUUAUAGUUUAUUUGAUAAUACCUUACUACUUGGAUACCCGUAGUAAUUCUAGAGCUAAUACAUGCAACAAGUCCCAACUCACGGCGGGAUGUAUUUAUUAGAUAUCAACCGACCGGAUCUUUGAUCUGUUUUUGGUGAAUCAUAAUAACUGUGCGGAUCGCAGAGACCUUGGUUGUCGGCGAUGAAUCAUUCAAGUUUCUGCCCUAUCAGCUUUCGAUGGUAGUGUAUUGGACUACCAUGGCGGUGACGGGUAACGGAGAAUUAGGGUUCGAUUCCGGAGAGGGAGCCUGAGAGAUGGCUACCACAUCCAAGGAAGGCAGCAGGCGCGUAAAUUACCCAAUCCCAAUUCGGGGAGGUAGUGACAAUAAAUAUCAAUGCGGGGCACACAGUGUCUUGCAAUUGGAAUGAGUACAAUUUAAAUCCCUUAACGAGGAUCGAUUGGAGGGCAAGUCUGGUCCCCCGU